rnacentral:rRNA from 1 species
CCCUUAGAUGUUCUGGGCUGCACGCGCGCUACACUGACACACUCAGCGAGUUCCUGUACCGAGAGGUUCGGGUAAUCAUGUGAGCGUGUGUCGUGAUGGGGAUAGAAUAUUGUAAUUAUUGCUCUUCAACGAGGAAUUCCUAGUAAGCGCAAGUCAGCAGCUUGCGCUGAUUACGUCCCUGCCCUUUGUACACACCGCCCGUCGCUCCUACCGAUUGGGUGAUCCGGUGAAUAAUUCGGACUGCGGCAUUGACCGGUUCCCGAUCGUUGCUGCGGAAAGUUUAGUGAACCUUAUCACUUAGAGGAAGGAGAANUCGUAACA